rnacentral:rRNA from 1 species
UACGUAGGUGGCAAGCGUUAUCCGGAUUUACUGGGUGUAAAGGGCGUGUAGGCGGGACUGCAAGUCAGAUGUGAAAACCACGGGCUCAACCUGUGGCCUGCAUUUGAAACUGUAGUUCUUGAGUACUGGAGAGGCAGACGGAAUUCCUAGUGUAGCGGUGAAAUGCGUAGAUAUUAGGAGGAACACCAGUGGCGAAGGCGGUCUGCUGGACAGCAACUGACGCUGAGGCGUGAAAGCGUGGGGAGCAAACAGG